rnacentral:rRNA from 1 species
GGAUGAACGCUAGCUACAGGCUUAACACAUGCAAGUCGAGGGGCAGCAUCAUCAAAGCUUGCUUUGAUGGAUGGCGACCGGCGCACGGGUGAGUAACACGUAUCCAACCUGCCGACAACACUGGGAUAGCCUUUCGAAAGAAAGAUUAAUACCGGAUGGCAUAGUUUUCCCGCAUGGGAUAAUUAUUAAAGAAUUUCGGUUGUCGAUGGGGAUGCGUUCCAUUAGGCAGUUGGCGGGGUAACGGCCCACCAAACCAACGAUGGAUAGGGGUUCUGAGAGGAAGGUCCCCCACAUUGGAACUGAGACACGGUCCAAACUCCUACGGGAGGCAGCAGUGAGGAAUAUUGGUCAAUGGACGAGAGUCUGAACCAGCCAAGUAGCGUGAAGGAUGACUGCCCUAUGGGUUGUAAACUUCUUUUAUACGGGAAUAAAGUGAGCCACGUGUGGCUUUUUGUAUGUACCGUAUGAAUAAGGAUCGGCUAACUCCGUGCCAGCAGCCGCGGUAAUACGGAGGAUCCGAGCGUUAUCCGGAUUUAUUGGGUUUAAAGGGAGCGUAGGCGGGUUGUUAAGUCAGUUGUGAAAGUUUGCGGCUCAACCGUAAAAUUGCAGUUGAUACUGGCGACCUUGAGUGCAACAGAGGUAGGCGGAAUUCGUGGUGUAGCGGUGAAAUGCUUAGAUAUCACGAAGAACUCCGAUUGCGAAGGCAGCUUACUGGAUUGUAACUGACGCUGAUGCUCGAAAGUGUGGGUAUCAAACAGGAUUAGAUACCCUGGUAGUCCACACAGUAAACGAUGAAUACUCGCUGUUGGCGAUAUACAGUCAGCGGCCAAGCGAAGGCAUUAAGUAUUCCACCUGGGGAGUACGCCGGCAACGGUGAAACUCAAAGGAAUUGACGGGGGCCCGCACAAGCGGAGGAACAUGUGGUUUAAUUCGAUGAUACGCGAGGAACCUUACCCGGGCUUAAAUUGCAACUGACUGAACCGGAAACGGUUCUUUCUUCGGACAGUUGUGAAGGUGCUGCAUGGUUGUCGUCUGCUCGUGCCGUGAGGUGUCGGCUUAAGUGCCAUAACGAGCGCAACCCUUACGGGUAGUUACCAUCAGGUUAUGCUGGGGACUCUACCCGGACUGCCGUCGUAAGAUGUGAGGAAGGUGGGGAUGACGUCAAAUCAGCACGGCCCUUACGUCCGGGGCUACACACGUGUUACAAUGGGGGGUACAGAAGGCAGCUACACGGCGACGCGGUGCUAAUCCCGAAAGCCUCUCUCAGUUCGGAUUGGAGUCUGCAACCCGACUCCAUGAAGCUGGAUUCGCUAGUAAUCGCGCAUCAGCCACGGCGCGGUGAAUACGUUCCCGGGCCUUGUACACACCGCCCGUCAAGCCAUGAAAGCCGGGGGUACCUGAAGUACGUAACCGCGAGGAGCGUCCUAGGGUA